UAUAAAAAAUAAGAUGAGGUACACUACCUUAAUAAGAAUACAUAAACUAAAAUACAUAAUGGUUUAUCAAAGUAUUGUAGAAAAUAAUAAAACUAUCAAUGGAUUAUUUAUUUUGAUAAAACUUAUCUUUAUUUUGCAGAAACCAUUUUAAAUUUUAGAUUCAUACUAUCCACCUCGUCUUCCUUUAUAAAUUUUAAUACUCAUUAGGAAAUUAUUUCUAUACCCUUUAACAAAUUUCCUUACGCAUAAUCAAUCCAUCAUCAAAA
rnacentral:lncRNA from 1 species